CGAAAAUAUGAUUUGUAAGGGGUGAGAUGAAACAAUCGUAGAUAUAGAAAAUGUAAGCUUUUGACAUUUAUUGCUUAAACAUGCAUUACAAUGAGAGUGUUGUGGCUUAGAAUACGGUAAAGAAAAUGUUGACAUAAUAUGCUGAAGAAUAGGUGUUGAUGGAUGACCUAAUUUGGAGUGCCACUCGGAGAAAGUGGUCUUGACGCUGGAAAAGACAAUGAGCGGAGAGGACAAUGUUGGAGAGGAGGUUGGCCACUCAUAGAUGCCAUCUUUAGUGUUUCCAAUCGAAAGGAUUGCCCCCGUGCUCAGAUCCUUUAUAUGAAAGACAGUGGGUAAGAAUUCAAUAGAAACAUGAUUAAUAUUGUAAAAUUGAUAGAUAGAAAUAAGGUUCUUUUUUAUAUUAGGUAUGCAAAGAAUAUUACGUAAAUUAAAGGUACGAGUAGGAGUAGGAAGUGUGGUGGAACCAGUAUAGGUAAUGUGAAGACCCGAGCCAUCGCUGAUCAUAACGUCAUCAGACCCUGCAUAAGGAGUGUGAAGUGAAAGAUUAUUCAAAUCCGUGGUGACAUGGUGCGACGCCCCACUAUCAAGUAUCCAUUUGGGGGUGUCAGUGGUGUCAAGAGAUGCAAAGUGUGCACGCGAUUGCCAAGGAGAAACAUGAUGUGGAGCCUGUGGGCGUG
rnacentral:lncRNA from 1 species